rnacentral:tRNA from 1 species
GCCUUCGUGGUGUUGUGGUCAGCACGCUGGGUGCGUAUUCGAGAGGUCCGUGGUUCGAUUCUCGGCGAGGGCG